UUAAUGCUGCAAUGAUACGGGU
rnacentral:miRNA from 1 species